GGCUCGGUGGUCUAGGGGUAUGAGUCUCGCUUUUUGGGUGCGGGAGGUUCCGGGUUCAAAUCCCGGCAGAGCCC